CUACGUGAUCGACACAAAACGCGCGAGAUUUCCGUAAAACAUCCUUACGCGGGAAUUUCAUGCAGGUAGAUAAAAUGACAUCUAGUAACAGGUAACGUGAUGGAAUCCCGUGCGGCUCAUUUUUUUUCCGAAAUUGAUCAGCUCCGUGCAAAACUGUUGAACAACGUGGGAGUCAUGACAGACUGGCAGCGUGCUGAAAAAGAAAUCAACCAUAUUUCUAUGUCCAGCCAGGAAAUUUUAAACCGAAUUGAAAGCAUAAUCCUGGAAAUAGUCACCAGUCUGUCCAAAGCUGAGGCCCCUGUCCUGGCGCUGCCCAACAGAUCCAGCUGGGCCAACGUAAGCUUUGACAGUGCCAUUGGGCUUCAGAUGAGUUCAAGACAGUCUGUCACCACCAUUAGGAGCGACUGCCCUUCAUCUGUCACUAAAUUUGCCCAGAUUCUCAAGAUUCUCUCAGUCAUCUACAGGCUUGUCCAGAGCAACUCAUAUGCUACAAAAAGAGACAUCUAUUACAACAACACAAAGCUCUUUGGUUCACAGAAAGCUGUUGAUAGCAUCGUAGAUGACAUCUCCUGCAUGCUAAAGGUUCCUCGCAGAUCACUACAUGUGUUGGCCACAUCCAAGGGAUUGAUCUCAGGUGACCUGUGUUAUAUGGAGGAGGACGGCACGAGGAUUGACUGCAACUCCAGCUCAACUGCCGUCUCAGUUUCAUCGAACAUCAGUGGAAUUAAAAAUAUUGUAUCAUCUGCAAAAUUUGUCAUGAUCAUCGAGAAGGAUGCGACGUUCCAGAGACUGCUGGAUGAUGACUUCUGCACAAAGCUCUCCCCUUGCAUCAUUAUCACAGGUAAAGGUGUGCCAGAUGUGAACAGCAGGCUGAUGGUGAAAAGGCUUUGGGAUGAGCUGCACAUCCCCAUCUUUGCCCUCGUGGAUGCUGAUCCUCAUGCUGGGUUGCAUGUCUCGCUAAGCCAACAAAAGUUAGCACCUGUCCACUGCGUCAUGGUGCCUAGUCUAGCUAUUAUUCCUGUUGGUGUGAUGUCGUCCAGGGGGAGUUGGCUCGGUUUCCAUCGGCCUCCAUACCACUAAGCUUUUUUGCUGCUGCGUGGCGAGACACAUAUGCAUUGAAAUCAUGUGCAUCUACAAGUAUGGAUCAGUGGCAAUGUCGUUUGAGGCCCACAGUCUGACCGUCCCCAGCGUUAUGUGGCUAGGCCUCCUCCCCUCUGACCUACAGAGGUUGCGGGUUCCCAAGGACGCUCUGAUCCCACUUACCAAGAGAGAUGAAAGCAAACUCUGCAGCCUCCUUGAAAGGCCGUACUUAACCAGCCAACCAGAGUGGGAGAAAGAGAUGAAACUGAUGCAGCAAAAUAAAGUAAAGGCUGAAAUACAGUCUUUGACAGCUAUAGCUCCUGACUUCCUCACACAAAUCUACCUGCCCAACAAGCUGCGCUAUGGAGGCUGGAUAUGAGCUCAAUGCUGCCACUUAGUGGAUGAGUAAGUGAACUGCUAAAGUUGCUUUGAAGCCUGAAGAGUGGUAUUAGAUGGAAAUUGUCAGACAAAUUAAAGUAUUAACUUCAGUUUGUUAGUUUGUAGUGUUUGGAUAUUUAUUCACCUUUCUUUGUGUAUAUUGGAUGCAGUUGUUUUAGAAGUGUAAUUAAAACCUCCAUGAUCCCACUGA